UAAGCGGAGGAAAAGAAACUAACUAGGAUUCCCUUAGUAACGGCGAGUGAACCGGGAAAAGCUCAAAUUUGUAAUCUGGCUGUCUUCGAUAGUCCGAGUUGUAAUCUAUAGACGUGUUUUCCGUGCUGGACCGUAUCUAAGUCCCUUGGAACAGGGUAUCAAAGAGGGUGACAAUCCCGUGCUUGAUACGACCACCAGUGCUCUGUGAUACACGCUCUACGAGUCGAGUUGUUUGGGAAUGCAGCUCAAAAUGGGUGGUAAAUUCCAUCUAAAGCUAAAUAUUGGCGAGAGACCGAUAGCGAACAAGUACCGUGAGGAAAGAUGAAAAGCACUUUGGAAAGAGAGUUAAACAGUACGUGAAAUUGUUGAAAGGGAAACGAUUGAAAUCAGUCGUGUUCUUUGGAUUCAGCUAGUUCUUCUAGUCUACUUCCAUUGAACGGGUCAACAUCAGUUUUGUCCGGUGGAUAAAGAUAGUAGGAAUGUAGCUCCCCCGGGAGUGUUAUAGACUAUUAUUGCAUACACUGGGUGAGACUGAGGACUGCAGCUCGCCUUUUGGCCGGUCUUCGGACACGUUCGAGCUUAGGAUGUUGACAUAAUGGCUUUAAACGACCCGUCUUGAAACACG
rnacentral:rRNA from 1 species